CUUUCUUGAGAAAAAAAUGCAAAUGGUGAUCCAGGAAACGAUGACAUUUUGGAAACGGUUGAACAGCGGGCCAUGACAUUCCCUCGGCCUCGAUGGUGGCAACAGGAAAGGUUUGAAAGAGAAACAAGAAAGAAUUUUAUAUGAAAUGGCACAGAAGAUUAGUAACAAGUAAUUUUGAAUUUUGAGAGCCAUAGAUGGGUACAAAACUGAAACUUUUGAAGCAGAGCCUGCUGCUUUAGUAAGUAUAUUUCUUUGUUUCUAUAAGAGAAACUUGUUUUGUUUAUGAGGUAAGGCCUUGUUCAAAGAAUGUAGGUAAUAUCACUGGAUAUAACUUUGUUCUUUGUAGAUCUUGUAUUGGAGAAAAAUGAUUGUUUAAUCUGGAUUUUUUUUUUCCUU